rnacentral:rRNA from 1 species
ACCUGCUCUAUGAUUAGUAAUUAAAUGGCUGCAGUAUUUUGACUGUACAAAGGUAGCAUAAUCAUUAGUUUUUUAAUUGAGAACUAGAAUGAAGGGUUGGACGAAAAAGAAACUGUCUCAAUUUAAUUUUAUUAGAAUUUUAUGUUUAAGUUAAAAAGCUUAAAUAUAUUUAAAAGACGAGAAGACCCUAUAGAGUUUAAUAUUAAUUUAAAUAAUUAAAAUAUAAAGAAUUAAUUUGUUAUUUAUUUAAUAUAGUAUUUAAUUGGGGUGAUUUAAAAAUUUAAUUAACUUUUUUUAAUUUAAACCAUUAAUUUAUGAAU